rnacentral:SRP_RNA from 1 species
UGAGAGGCUGGCGCGGGCAAGCGCCUCGCCAACCCGGUCAGGUCCGGAAGGAAGCAGCCGUAACGAGUCCCGCAUGGGUCGUUGUCCGGUCUCUCACCU